rnacentral:rRNA from 1 species
GACGAACGCUGGCGGCGUGCUUAACACAUGCAAGUCGAACGAAAAGAGGGAAAGAGCUUGCUCUUUCCGGAAUUGAGUGGCAAACGGGUGAGUAACACGUAAACAACCUGCCUUCAGGAUGGGGACAACAGACGGAAACGACUGCUAAUACCGAAUAAGUUCCAAGGGCCGCAUGGCCCAUGGAAGAAAAGGUGGCCUCUACCUGUAAGCUAUCGCCUGAAGAGGGGUUUGCGUCUGAUUAGCUGGUUGGAGGGGUAACGGCCCACCAAGGCGACGAUCAGUAGCCGGUCUGAGAGGAUGAACGGCCACACUGGAAUUGAGACACGGUCCAGACUCCUACGGGAGGAAGCAGUGGGGAAUCUUCCGCAAUGGGCGAAAGCCUGACGGAGCAACGCCGCGUGAGUGAUGACGGCCUUCGGGUUGUAAAACUCUGUGAUCCGGGACGAAAAGGCAGAGUGCGAAGAACAAACUGCAUUGACGGUACCGGAAAAGCAAGCCACGGCUAACUACGUG